GACAGAGGCCUCGAGCGUUAGGCGGAAUCACUGGGCUUAAAGCGUGUGUAGGCGGAUCGUUAAGUGCCUUGUGAAAUCCCACGGCUUAACUGUGGAACGGCUGGGCAUACUGGCGGUCUUGAGCCAUCUAGGGGCGACUGGAACAAACGGUGGAGCGGUGAAAUGCGUAGAUAUCUGGAGGAACACCGGUGGCGAAGGCGGCAUCCUGGACCGACACUGACGCUGAAAAGCGAAAGCCAGGGGAGCAAACGGG
rnacentral:rRNA from 1 species